UACGGAGGGGGCAAGCGUUAAUCGGAAUUACUGGGCGUAAAGCGCACGCAGGCGGUUAGACAAGUUAGCUGUGAAAGCCCCGGGCUCAACCUGGGAAUUGCAUUUAAAACUGUCCGGCUAGAGUGUUGUAGAGGGGGGUAGAAUUCCAGGUGUAGCGGUGAAAUGCGUAGAGAUCUGGAGGAAUACCGGUGGCGAAGGCGGCCCCCUGGAC
rnacentral:rRNA from 1 species